AGUGAACGCUGGCGGUAGGCCUAACACAUGCAAGUCGAACGGCAGCACAGUAAGAGCUUGCUCUUACGGGUGGCGAGUGGCGGACGGGUGAGGAAUACAUCGGAAUCUACUUUUUCGUGGGGGAUAACGUAGGGAAACUUACGCUAAUACCGCAUACGACCUACGGGUGAAAGCAGGGGAUCUUCGGACCUUGCGCGAUUGAAUGAGCCGAUGUCGGAUUAGCUAGUUGGCGGGGUAAAGGCCCACCAAGGCGACGAACCGUAGCUGGUCUGAGAGGAUGAUCAGCCACACUGGAACUGAGACACGGUCCAGACUCCUACGGGAGGCAGCAGUCGGGAAUCUUCGACCAUCGGCGCAAGCCUGCUCCAGGCCUACCGCGUGGGUGAAGAAGGCCUUCGGGUUGUAAAGCCCUUUUGUUGGGAAAGAAAAGCAGCAGGUUAAUACCCCGCUGUUCUGACGGUACCCAAAGAAUAAGCACCGGCUAACUUCGUG
rnacentral:rRNA from 1 species